rnacentral:lncRNA from 1 species
UAUAGACAGUCAUAUCAGAAUAAUGUAGAAUUUUAAAAUAAUAUUAUAAUAUACUGUGUAUUACUUUGGAUCAGUUGGUUGCGCACAAGUCUGUUAAGGGGCAUGUUUACAAUGCUACCAGGCAGUAAUUUUCAGUUACACAAGAACAGGCUACUAUCUAUAUGAAUAGAGGUAAAUGUCAUUCAACAGUGUGUUUAACAUCACCGCUUGACUCUGAUUAAAACAACCUCAGUUUAGCUCAAUAAUGCACAAUGUGUUUUUUGGCUUAUUCUGGCUACUGCGCUUGCACAGAUCUCCACACCAAGAUGGGGUUCUCUUUGCGUGUGUUGAAAACCAACAAGCUAAUUCACUCAUUUUCUUAAAAGUCAGGUUUUUGUUAUCAUUUUUUACUAAAAAGGGACUCCCAGCCAUGGAUGGUUGUAGCAUGAACGAGGAUCUCCCACUGAUAUGCCAUGCAAAAUUCAACUGAUGACAGGGAUCUGUCAUUUUUAAAAUACAAUACAAUGCAAUUCUUAAUCAAUGUUCACUGCAAUAUAUAUGUCUCAUUCACAGAAUACCUGUCAGCUCCCAGGAUUUCAUUCACCCUUUACUAUCAUGGUUCUGGGUACCAUGCGAACAUCAGCUGCAGGUUGGUACGAGGCAGCCCGCCGGUGACGUUCCGGCUGCUGCUGGAUGGGGAGGCUGUGGCUGUGCAGAGGACUGGUUCACUGGAGGCCUGGUUCAGUGUGCCUGUCAGUGUGGGGCUGGAUAUGGGAACGGCCCAGUGUAAAGCAGAGACUGACAUCCAGCAGCUUCUUAGUGACCCAGUAGAUCUGGAAGUGGUUCCAGUAGAAGGCAGUGCACAGGUCCUGGUGGAGUUCCUCCAGACAGCAGACUCUGUGGUGGCUGCUGCCCUUCUCCAGUGUGUCAUCACCAGAGGAACUUUCCCACUUUUCUCCUGGUCCUUAAACCAAGCCAUCCUACCAGAACAGGGUGAUUCUCACGCCUUAACCCCGAACGGCCGCAUCUUAGUCAUCACAGCCUUCAGUGCUGAGAACUCGGGUUAUUACAGCUGCAGAGCGAGGGACAGCUUUAACUCCAACUCGUCUUGGCUGCAGAGUGAGGAGGUCUUGGUUAAGAUGACAGGUAAUGUGAUGUGCUGACUUUAUAAUCAGGGUUUUGAAAAUAGGUUUAAAGGGGAAAUCCUCAUUUCCAAAUGUUUAUUGUGGAAUGCUUAGUUCUAAAAAAAAACAAAACAAAAACUAAUGGGUCUUUUUUGGGAGAGUGAUGGGAAAUAAAUUUCUUCAAAUUGUAAUGAUGCUAAAUAUU